GGGGCUGAUCCGGUUUCGACGGGGGUUGUCGAGGGCAGGAUAAGCGAGCCGUGGCCCUGUACCACGUUAAAACGGGGAAAAAAAGUAACUGACAACAGCAAUUUUGCUUUCGCGGCCUAAUUAGGCCGUGACGUUGGCCCGGUCUGCCCGCGUGGCCGGUCACCAGCGUCAUUUACGCGGGGAACGAGCGCAUGUAAGCUUUGCCAUGCGUCCGUAACAUGAAGCUACUUCGCGCACACGUUUGUCUGUGGACGUGUGCGCGGGGGAAUUUUCAACCACAGACUGCGCUCGGAGAAGGUUCUGUUUGCGAGCCUUCGGACAGGGGUUCAACUCCCCUCAGCUCCAC
rnacentral:tmRNA from 1 species